UCCAGGAUAGCCUAGUGGACAAGGCACCUGCCCGGUAAGCAGAAGGUUGUGGGUUCGAUUCUCGCUCCUGGAC